rnacentral:rRNA from 1 species
UACGAAGGGGGCUAGCGUUGCUCGGAAUCACUGGGCGUAAAGCGCACGUAGGCGGAUUGUUAAGUCAGGGGUGAAAUACUUCAGCUUAACUGGAGAAGUGCCCUUGAUACUGGCGGGCUCGAGGGAGGUAGGGGUCUGUGGAACUUCUGGUGGAGCGGUGAAAUGCGUUGAUAUCAGAAGGAACGCCGGUGGCGAAAGCGACGGACUGGACCUCUUCUGACGCUGAGGCGCGAAAGGCUAGGGGAGCAAACGGG